GGGGAGAGCAACUGGCCCUCCAGAGGGAAAGAGAAAGAGGAGAGAAGGAAAGCAGGAAAAGAGAGAGGAAAGGAAAGAAGGAACGCACACCUUUAUAACAAUACAUAUGACUUACGAUAUUGGUGCAGCAAGAAUUGCAGAUUGGGAUUCGGUAAGGGUCGGCAUCUGGAUUUUAGCCAAGAACUGCUGAAUAUCUUCCCUGUCAUGAGAGGGGACAUGAUUGGAAAGUGCUGAAUAAAACCUUUCAAAUGCCA